AUGUGGCAAACAGCAAUCCUACGUGGCAUGUUGACGACGUUAACUAUGUCCAUGUCAACAAAAAUGCAUCAACCAAAAACGCACUUUUUCCUUUAAUUGCAAAAUCCCUUCAAAUUAAACGCAAAUCCACUCACCUCUUCGUUUCCCUCAUUUCCUCCACACUUUCAUCUACAUCCAUUCAUUUUCUGUUUUUCAAUCAAAUCCAGAAUUCAUAAUUGUUUGUUUUCUACCGAACCCGCAAUUUCAAUUUUUUAAAUUUUGCGUUUUUCAAUCAAACCCAUAAUUUUAGUUUUUCAUCUUUUGGAUUUAAGUCAGAAUGAAGUUUGGAAAGAGUUUCAAUCAAAUUUAUGAAACUUUACCUGAAUGGAGGGACAAGUUUUUGUCAUACAAGGGGCUGAAAAAGAAGCUUAAGUUGAUAGAGCCAAAUAGGCCGUCAUCUUCGGCUGGGGAAGAGGGGAGGGCCAAGAAGAGGCAGAAACGACGAAUUAGCUGCCGACAGUGGUGGUGAAAGGGCGGUUAUGACGGAGGCGGUCGUCAAGUUAUUGGAGGAUGAACUUGAGAAAUUUAACGCUAUCUUUGUUGAGAAAGAGGAAGAGUACAUCAUCAGAUUAAAGUUAAUUAUGCUAUAUGAAUAUUUAUACAAUUGGUCUCUGCAAUAUAAAGCCAAGCAUCAUGACUCAUGAAGCAACAAUGGCAGCCUUAAUAGCUCUCUGUAACUCAUUCUACAAG
rnacentral:lncRNA from 1 species